rnacentral:rRNA from 1 species
UACGGAGGGUGCGAGCGUUGUCCGGAAUCACUGGGCGUAAAGGGCGCGUAGGCGGUCUGAUAAGUAGGGGGUGAAAUCCUGCGGCUUAACCGCAGGGCUGCCUUCUAAACUGCCAGACUCGAGCACAGUAGAGGCAGGUGGAAUUCCCGGUGUAGCGGUGGAAUGCGUAGAGAUCGGGAAGAACAUCGGUGGCGAAGGCGGCCUGCUGGGCUGUUGCUGACGCUGAGGCGCGACAGCUAGGGGAGCAAACAGG